AGGAAAGAUUCCUGUUUCUGGUGGUUAUAUUUUGUCAGCUUAGAGAUCUAGUUAUGUGUGUGGCUGUGGUGGAAUCUGCAAUAUCUUGGCUCAGAGUUUCCUUUUUCUGGCUUACUAGGGGAGCCGCAUUAGCUGGGGUCAUGGCGCUGUGGCCAUUGUUAGGAUCCCAGGGCUGAGGCAACCCCUCUCCCCCAUAUCCACCCACUCCU